AUAACCAACCAAUAAUGUGGGCUGAUAAGAUAUUAUAAAUAGUAACUUUGAAGCCUGUAAAAGGGGUCUUUCUCUCUCUUGAACGAGAAGACCACCGCAUUUUCAAUACUUUUCUUUCCUGCAUUUAUCGUUUUCUACGAGUAGUCUACAUGUAAUCUUUUUUAUCCGCAUUUAUUGCUUUUCUAGGAGUAGCUUUUAAGUUAGAUCUCUGAAGUCUGUAUGUCCCACGGGCACACUCUGUUGUAAUCUAGAUUUUCAGAGUCUGUAUGCCUUUCGGGCACACUCUGUUUUGUAUGAGUUCCCAACUUCAUUUUAAUAUAUAAAGGCAUUCGGCUUCUUUAGCCGACCAGUCACUGUGUAUUCCAUCUAUUCGGCUCAUCAGCCGACUGAAAACCUUGUGCAUUCUGUAUAUUCGGCUCUUCCAGCCGAACCGAAUCUAUAAUAAAGGUCUUCGAACUCGGCUGAUCCGAUCCCUUAUCAACCGAAUCAUUUGAUCCAGUCGAAGGGCGCAAACUUUGAGGGUCACUGAUCGUAGCCGUUUCGCUUCCCGACACGCUUCCCUAGGAGGAUCUUUGACCAGGUCAAAAAGGAGGGAAUUCGGCUUCUAACACUCACAUUAGGUUUUGGAACAUUAAUUCUGCAUUUGAAAACGUGACAUAGACUGAAAAUUUGGGUAUUACGUACAAUAGUUCUUCACAAUUUUAUGUACAACCAAACAAGCACCCACUGUAAUUUCUAGCUCAAAUUUUAUAAAUUUGUUCAAUCAUAUCUCAUAACUCAAUUUAGUUAACUAAAUAAUGACGUAUUACUGAUGUGAAAAUGAUGUAAUAUCUUAAUUUUUAUCGUGUUAUCAAUCGUAAUACUAUAAUGUUAUUUUUAUAUUUGCGACACAUCAUCAUUCAGUCAAUUAAACUGAAUUAUUAAACUUAAGUAUAAUAAUUUAAAAAGCUCAUGCUAAAAAUAGUAAUAAAACAAAUUGCAGGAUUAUAAUGUCUAGUUUGAUGACCAAAAAUAUAAUUUAACCCAUAGUUAUAUAUUAGAAUGGUCAAAAUUAAUCUAUCUAUCUAUACCUAUACAUUAUUUCUCUUGGAGUUUGCCACGUGGCAAUUCCUCCUUCACCUCUCCUUUUUACUCCAAAAUUUAUACUCUCCAAUCAUUGCUUCCCUAUAACGUCUGUCUCUUCGGCUUUCCAUCUUAUUAAUUCAUUUCCUGUAACGUCUGCCUAUUCGGCUUCCUGUCUUAUUAAUUUUAUUUCAUAACGUAUGUCUUUUCGGCUUCCCAUCUUAUUAAUUUCUUCUCUGUAAUGUGGUUGCUUUGACUUUCCCCAUUAGUUUCUAUUUUCUAAGAGGCGUUAGGCUUCUGCUGGCU
rnacentral:lncRNA from 1 species